rnacentral:lncRNA from 1 species
GCUGUCAGAAAACUACCCUUCUUUGUAACCAAAUACUUUUUCUUCAUUUCAGAUAUACAGGAGCUGCAAUUCGCUUUUCUUUGUAAUGCAAAUAAGUUGCUAGAGCAGGAGUGUGAGUGGUAGUGAGAGUGACUCUAGGAUGGUUGAGCGGAUUUGAAUGAGUGUGUACAAGUGAAUGGGUUGUAUGUGAGGGGUUUCUCAGUUUGUCUCACUGCUAAUUGAGGAAGCCAUUUAGGUGGUCAUAGAGGAAAGACUUCUAGCAUGUCCAUUCCUUAUCAGCCAUGUUACUGAAUUUAUUUUGAAGCCAAGCACUACCAAAGCUGAAUUGUGGCUCCUCCCUUUGGGGACUAGGACAGAG